UACGGAGGGUGCAAGCGUUGUCCGGAUUUAUUGGGUUUAAAGGGUGCGUAGGCGGCCCGUUAAGUCAGCGGUGAAAUCCCGGGGCUCAACCCCGGAACCGCCGUUGAUACUGGGGGGCUUGAGUAUGGACGAGGUUGGCGGAAUUGAGGGUGUAGCGGUGAAAUGCUUAGAUACCCUCAAGAACACCGAUUGCGUAGGCAGCUAACUAGGCCAUAACUGACGCUGAGGCACGAAAGCGUGGGGAGCGAACAGG
rnacentral:rRNA from 1 species